rnacentral:rRNA from 1 species
AUGCAACCCCCCCUCCCCUGGCCGGGCUCCCCGUUCAGCGUAUCUGCCGCAGCAGUCUCCAAAAUGCUGGCUUGCUGCUGCUUGGUUGUGUCCCAGCUGCUCAUCGUAAUAACACUCAUAUACCUUGUCAUUACCAAGAGCAAGGUCCGCUGUGACACGUGCUCAUCAGCGACGGUGCCGCUUCCACUUCCGCCGGGGCCAUGUCCGUGGCCAGUGGUGGGUAACCUGCCCGAGAUGGUGGUCAACAAGCCGGCAUUCCGUUGGAUCCAUCGCGUGAUGAAGGAUAUGGGCACCGACAUCGCCUGCUUCCGCCUCGGCGGCGUCCACGUCGUCCCGAUCACAUGUCCCAAGAUCGCAAGGGAGGUGCUCAAGAAGCAGGACAAAAACUUCUCGUCCCGCCCACUCACCUUCGCCUCCGGCGUCAUCAGCAGCGGGUACAAGGACGCCGUGCUCUCGCCGUUCGGUGACCAGUGGAUGAAGAUGCGCAAGGUGCUCACCUCUGAGAUCAUCUGCCCCUCCCGUCACAAGUGGCUCCACGACAAGCGCGCCGAUGAAGCUGACAACUUGACGCGCUACAUCUACAACCUCACUGCCGGGGGGUUGUCAUCUUCAACGUCGGGACUAGCCAACGUCAAUGUCAGGCACGUCGCGCGGCAUUACUGCGGCAACAUCAUCCGCCGGCUUGUCUUCGGCCAACGGUACUUCGGGGAGCCUCAGCCGGACGGCGGGCCGGGGCCAAUGGAGGUGGAGCACAUGGACGCUUCCUUCGCCCUCCUAGGGUUCACCUUCACGUUCUGCGUCAGCGACUACCUCCCGUGUCUACUUGGCCUAGAUCUCGACGGCCACGAGAAAAUUAUUAAGGAGGCCAACACAAAAGUGGAUAGACUGCACGACGUGGUCAUCGAAGAGCGUUGGAGGCAGUGGAACAGCGGCGAGAGGCAGGACGGGGUCCAGGACUUCCUUGACGUUCUCAUCACGCUCGCCGACGGUGACGGCAAGCCGUUGCUCAGCAUCGAUGAGGUCAAAGCACAAUCCAAGGGCAUAAUAUUAGCGGCCAUUGAUAACCCGUCAAACGCAGUGGAGUGGGCACUGGCGGAGAUGGUGAACAACCCAGAAUUGCUGGCCAAGGCGGUGGAGGAAAUGGACCGGGUGGUCGGUCACGAGCGACUGGUGCAAGAGUCGGACAUCAUGCAGCUCAACUAUCUCAAGGCAUGCAUACGUGAGGCAUUCCGCCUCCACCCAAUCGCUCCCUUCAACCUGCCGCACGUCGCGAUUGCCGACACCAUUGUUGCGGGCUACCACGUGCCCAAGGGUAGCAACGUCAUCCUCAGCCGGCUGGCCCUGGGCCGGAACCCCACCGUCUGGGAUGAACCGCUCCGCUUCAAGCCGGAGCGCCAUAUGGGAGACAACAUCAAUGUGGUGCUUACUGAGAGCGAAUUGCGGUUCAUCUCCUUCAGCACCGGACGACGGGGAUGCAUCGCGGCAUCACUAGGAACAACCAUGAGUGUCAUGCUCUUUGGCAGGCUCCUGCAUGGCUUCACCUGGACCAAACCGGCUGGGGUGUCGGCCAUCAAUCUCAGCGAGUCCAAGCGCAACCUCUUUAUAGAGAAGCCGCUAGUGCUACAUGCUGAGCCACGUCUUCCAGUGCACCUCUACCCUCUCAUGCAUUGUUGA